AUAACCUUGGGAGAUUUCACAACCACCGUUCCGGAUGGCAUCCCAUAUUGAAAGAUCAACUGAAUGAGUCAAAACACAAGGCAUUUGUCCUCUGUCAGACAACAAAGGUGGGCAAUGUGGUGAGAUGAUCUCCAUGACAGAAUCUCUUACUUCCCCUUUCAGUAACUCAACUGCACACUAGCACCAAAUGAUUAGGCAAAUAUCUUUCUUAUGUAACUGAUAAGAGUGCAUGUUACAGCUUUGAAGAGAAGUUUUAAUGGCACGCAUGAGGCAACAGCAGCGAACAGAGAGGCU